GCCUCCCCCGCUUCCUCCGCAAUCCCGCAGCCGCCUCCCCCCGCGCCUCGCCCCGCAGCCGCCUCCCCCGCAUCCUCCGCGCCUCUCCCUGUGCCACCCAUCUCCGCCUCCUCUCCCAUCUCCUCCCUGCUGCUGCUGGCCAUCGCACCCUCACCAUCGACGAUUGAUGCGGCCGACAGCGAGCGCCGGUGAGCGACCGGGAGGCCGCCACCUCUCCUGACCUCCUCCCAGGUUCCCGAUCUGGAGCGGCGAGGCCAACCCCCUCUUCACACGCAGAUGCUUUUCUCUUCCCUCAGUUCCCUCUCUCUCUCUUCCCUGACCCUCUCGAUGGCCAGAGGGGGGUGACUGGGUGGAUCAGGUGGCGGUGAUGUCAGAGCUCGAGGCGGAGAUGGCGGAGCUCGGGCUGGAGUGCUCACGGGAUGACGGAUUCAAGGGCUGGAGCUCUCACGGGCUGGAGGUGCUCAGGCUAAAGGCAGUUGAGGACGCCCUACGGGCGAGCUGGAGGUGGAGGCGUUGAGAGCCCUCCCCCCAUCUCUCAUUUUCUCCAUUUCUUUCCCUCCAACAUCUCACUACUGCUUCUGUAUGGAACAACAGAGGGGAUGGGAAGAGGCCUGGAGUUGCUCAGCAUCGGUCAACCUGCAAGGUGGUUUGCUCGACCACUCACCGUUGGUUCUGUCAAUAUGCAAGGUGAUUUGCUCGAUACCUCGCUGUUGGUUCCGUCAAUCUGCAAGGUUCUUCGUUCGGCUGGAUUGUAGGUUGGCUCCAGUCCUUGAUCAGUUCUUCUGCAAGGAGAGUUUCAGUGCUCAGCAUAUUGCAGUAAUUGCAGCAGCGAGUUCUAUGAAGCACGUCAAUGGAGGGGACAUAGUCAAUGACAAUCGCCUACCAUUUAAUUAGAUGGUUUGCCAGUUUCUUCCUGUAGAUAGUAUCACAGUGAUGCGAUUCAGAUGUUUAUAAUUCUUUUCCAACAUUCCAUAUUCUUGUAUUCAUUCAUUUUGAAACCACGGAGGCCAUCGCAUUAUGCAUUGGUUAGACUAGGUAAUUUCUGUUAAGGUAUAAUUUUUCUAUCAAUAUGCCAAGAUCGACUGUUCGCCUCAUCUUUAUUCUGCAAAUGUCAAAAUGUCCAGAACAAAAAUUUCAAGCUUUUAGACCUUACAUAUGUUAUGAACUUAUGAAGUUAUGAUAUAUGUCUAAAUUCAGCUGGAUCUUCAAUUAAAUCCUGAAUUCUAUAGAUGUUUUAUCCUUUUCUACAUCUGAGUAUACACUAAUUAGUUAAACCUUUUCUUUUCCGGAUCUGCAUUCCACCUGUACUAAUUGCCAGAUUAUAUAUGUGUUUGUGUUCAUUCUUAAUUUAAACUAGACCUAGCUGUAUAUACUACAAAAUUUGUUAAAUUUGCGCUGGGCAGGUUUCCAUGAUGAGUUCGUAGCCUUUAUGAAGUUGCUGCUGCUUGUUUUCUGUAAUCAUUGCUCAUUUCUCGUCUCCAUAGCAGAAAAUUUGAUUCUUGCAUCUAACCCUGAUCCUGAUGGUGAAAUAAUUGCUUGGCACAAUAAAGAAAUGCUUGAGUGGCAUGAUGUGUUGGGUUUCCAUGUUUUACUGUCAUUUACAUGAGGUGGCAGUUUUGGCUACCUCCACCCGCCUUAGUCUGUUUAUUUUUAAGUGGGAAGUGAUGAAUCGAACAAGGAGGAAGGACGACGUGCUUGUUCUUUCCGGCGUGGGUUUACUAAACUUUGUACAUAUGAAUUUCACCUCAUAUUUUCUUCCUGGCUUGAUAAGAACUGAACAAUAUAAUUUGGUUUCUCAUGUCCAGUAUUCCAGAUUGAGUAAUGCUAGAGAUAUGCGACCCUUAGCCCAGUUUACGAAAUGCUUUAUUAGGUGUAUUUUUCUUUCAUGUACAUAGCUGGGAGUAGUCUAAUAGCCAUUUUUUAAGGAUAAACAAGGCUUACUGUACGUAAGGUUUGAGAUUACCCCAUUUCAAAUAACUAAAGGAAAUCACUAUUCCUCAAAUGCAGGUUAUUGGUUUAUUUUAUUUCGUAUGGCAUGUUUUUGUUUCAGUUCUUUGUUUUUUCAAUCCAUUGCUUUCUAGCAGUCUUCAUGAUAACAGAGAUUUGAGAAGGAUCUCUCUCUGUAGCUGUAGGUGAUAACUUUUUUGUACUGAAACUACAAAAUUAUUUGUUCUAUCUAAUGUCGUUUCUAUCUCCACUAAGAGCUUUCAGCCUGCAAGCACCCAGUUAUCCUUCUAAGUUGGCAGGAUUGAUGAAACCUUUAAGCCUGAACUAGCAUCCUUUGGAUUUGGGGGUGCAUCAUGCACAUCUGGAGCAUCAUCUUCUGCUGAGAGCUCAGGCAUGGCGGUGCCCAUUCUCACGUCUUUCGCUACAGUAUCAUCUACACUUGUAGAGCUACCUCCGGAUGAGAUGAACACUCCUAUAUCUGCAUUCAGAGCAAAAGGACAGGUUGCUAUGCCUAAAACACCCAGCAAAUCACCAUGCCCAAAAAGCGCUUGCCGCAAACUUGUCUUGAGCUCUCUAAGUCUAAGGGUGCAGCGCUAUCUGGCUCUGCUCCCAAGUUGGCUACCCAGACUGAAGAAGUUGUUCCUGCUGGAAAUGUUGUUCAGCCUGCAUCCAUGCCAAAUAUACAUACCUAUGUUUGAUAUGCAAAUGAGUUUGAUUUCAUCUUCGUGCCAGCAAGGAAAUUCUACCUGUUAAGAAACAAAUAGAGUUUUGAUGUUACAUUAUUGAUUGGCUUGGUUCUUCCUGGUGCAGUUCUAAGUUCCAGUACUUUUGUUUUUUGCUUGCUCAUACCUUUUAAGAAGCUACUAAAUGCAGGUUCACUGUCAGGUUGGUUAGAUGUUCUAUAGAUCACUAUAUAUGCAGGUUCAUUAGCUAUCCAAGAAAAUUAGUGUCAGGUUUCAGUAUCCAGUAGGCUAGAUUCCUUGUCAGGCUCGUUUAUUGUUUUGUUGCUCACCAAUGCAUUGUAGAUUAGAUGUCUAACCAAUAAAAUCAGCCUCUGGUCUAAGAAUCUGAUGGGUCUUUUGUCCUUUGAAAACAAAAACAUCCUUCUUUAUACAUCUAAAAAAUGGUUUCUUCUUCACUGAUGUGUGUGAUGCUAUUUGAUCAAGCUUUGUUUCCCACGACUGCUAUGUUCAAAUUAAUAAGAGCCUGGAUAAAACAACCUUUUACCUUCAUAGUAAUAUGCAUUCUUCUUUCUUUCCUCUUGCAUGUACAUCCAAUUCUUGUUGUUGCAAGCAAAAUGACUUGCUUUGUAGCCUUGUGAUCUUCCCACAUUUCGGCUAAGAACCUUUCUAAAAAUCUUCAGGGCGACAUGCGCAUUAAAAGGCUCCAGCCUGUUGUUGAUGCUUCUGGGCUUGACAAGGUUGGCGGACCCGAGUGGCUGUUUCGCAAGUCCAUGGCUCGCCUGAUAUAUUCACAACCUUUGCAUGUGAUCCAGAGUGGCCUGAGAGAAUUGAGACCCUUGAACAUGGGCAAAAAGCAGUCGAUGGAGCUGAUAUUACCAUUCAAAUCCAUCAGAUAAGCUACUUGACUACCUGCACACAAUCAGGACUGGGCAAGUGUUUGGGACAGUGCUUGCUGUUGUCCACACCGUGGAGUUCCAGAAAACGGGGGUGCCCCAUGCACAUAUCCUUGUUUGGCAGGAGAAGAACGAUGAUCAGGCCCCUGCACUUGCUGAUGUUGAUCCAGAUGCUUGUACUGCUGCACCUGCCAACAGCGUGGAAGCGGCGGUUGCUCAGCCAGCUAGGCUUAACAGGAUUGCCACUACUGCUGCUGCUGCAUCAACCAUUUCAUAAAACAAUGAUAGGUCCCUAAGCAAUCUGCGCUUCAAAAUGAGCGUCUGUGUGGUUGUUUUGGCCUUUACUACCUUCUCCUUCGCUACUUUCAAGCCCGCAAGAACAAGUGAACGCUGCAUGGCCACCGCUGUCUUCCGGCAACACCCUUUUAAACAGUCUACUGUUAUGUUACUUGCAUGUUUGCAAUCCCGGUUUUGGCAGUCAUAAAGACAAGCCAAAACUCCUUCAUACUUUUCCCUGUUUAAAUCCGAACGGAGCAACUUCCAUAUUCCGUGGAUAACGCUAUUAGACCUCUUUUGCUUUACCCUCUCUCUCGAAUGACUGUUUCAAUCUACUGUAAGUAUUUGUUCACUCAAUCGCCUACUGUAUCUGCUAUUCCCAAUGCAAUAUUAGCUGUUCUAGAGCUUACAUUAACAAAUUGGGGAAAUGUAUGCCCUAAUUCAAUUUUUUCAAAAGUAUGCCC